rnacentral:rRNA from 1 species
UACGAAGGGGGCUAGCGUUGUUCGGAAUUACUGGGCGUAAAGCGCACGUAGGCGGAUCGAUCAGUCAGGGGUGAAAUCCCAGAGCUCAACUCUGGAACUGCCUUUGAUACUGUCGGUCUAGAGUAUGGAAGAGGUGAGUGGAAUUCCGAGUGUAGAGGUGAAAUUCGUAGAUAUUCGGAGGAACACCAGUGGCGAAGGCGGCUCACUGGCUCGGUACUGACGCUGAGGUGCGAAAGCGUGGGGAGCAAACAGG